GGCAAGUGUUUGCAAUAGGUCAGAGUCCAGCUGGCCAUGGGAGCUGUGGUGGCAGCAGCUACAGCAAGGAUGAACCAAUUCGAAGCAAUGCUGAGGAACAAACUACAUCAAAUGCCCUGCAGCUCAUUCUAUGUCUUGCCUACUAUCGCAAAAAAUUCUGGACUUCUUCCAAGGUCAUAAGAUCGACAUUUAAAUUCAGAAUUCCAGAAAAUUUUUUCAGCUUACGAUGCAGACAUGUGCCUGGAGUUUCUAUAGCUACCCGGAGACCAGCGGUGAAGGAUGGCUAAGCAGAAGUAUAAAGAGAGUAGAGUUGAAGCUGUUGCACUAAUUCUGGGCCUCCUACCUUCAAAUGACUUGUAAUUUGAGGUAAAAUAA